rnacentral:rRNA from 1 species
CAAUAGCGUAUAUUUAAGUUGUUGCAGUUAAAAAGCUCGUAGUUGGAUUUCGGUUAAGAGCGACCGGUCCGCCGUUUGGUGUGCACUGGUUGGUUUUAACUUCCUGUAGAGGACGUGCUCUGGGUUUAACGACCUGGACUCGGAGUCUACGUGGUUACUUUGAAAAAAUUAGAGUGUUCAAAGCGGGCUUACGCUUGAAUAUUUCAGCAUGGAAUAACACUAUAGGACUCCUGUCCUAGUUCGUUGGUCUCGGGACGGGAGUAAUGAUUAAGAGGAACAGUUGGGGGCAUUCGUAUUUCAUUGUCAGAGGUGAAAUUCUUGGAUUUAUGAAAGACGAACUUCUGCGAAAGCAUUUGCCAAGGAUGUUUUCAUUAA